rnacentral:rRNA from 1 species
CCUACGGGGAGCAGCAGUGGGGAAUAUUGGGCAAUGGAGGCAACUCUGACCCAGCAACGCCGCGUGAAUGAUGAAGGUCUUCGGAUUGUAAAGUUCUUUUCUAAGGGAAGAUGAAAGUGACGGUACCUUAGGAAUAAGCCUCGGCUAACUAAGUGCCAGCAGCCGCGGUAAUACGUAGGCGGCAAGCGUUAUCCGGAAUGACUGGGCGUAAGGGGUGCGUAGGUGGUUUGACAAGUUAGUAGCGCAACUCCGGGGCUCAACUUCGGAACUACUACUUAAACUGUUGGACUUGAGUGCAGGAGAGGCAAGCGGAAUUCCUGGUGUAGCGGUGAAAUGCGUAGAUAUUAGGAGGAACACCAGUGGCGAAGGCGGAUUGCUAGACUGUAACUGACACUGAGGCACGAAAGCGUGGGGAGCAAACAGGAUUAGAUACCCCUGUAGUC